rnacentral:rRNA from 1 species
GCUUGUCUCAAAGAUUAAGCCAUGCAUGUCUCAGUAUAAGCUUUUACACGGCGAAACUGCGAAUGGCUCAUUAAAACAGUUAUCGUUUCUUUGGUGGUUAUUGAUUACAUGGAUAACCGUGGUAAUUCUAGAGCUAAUACAUGCGCCAAGUCCCGUCUUACGUCGGGAUGUAUUUAUUAGAUUUCAAUCAACACUUUUUGCUGACUCAUGAUAACUUAGCGGAUCGCAGAGGCCUCGCGCCGGCGACAAAUCAUUCAAGUUUCUGCCCUAUCAGCUUUCGAUGGUAGUGUAUUGGACUACCAUGGCAUUCACGGGUAACGGAGGAUUAGGGUUCGAUUCCGGAGAGGGAGCCUGAGAAAUGGCUACCACAUCCAAGGAAGGCAGCAGG